GCUCGGGCCAACUCUGACCAGGCUGACCAGCUGCAUCCCCUGCCUCUACCCAUGCCAGGGCAUCAACCUGUCUGGUGGUCAACGCCAGCGAAUCAGUGUGGCCCGAGCCCUCUACCAGCACGCCAACGUCGUCUUCUUGGAUGACCCCUUCUCAGCUCUGGAUAUCCAUCUGAGUGACCACUUAAUGCAGGCCGGCAUCCUUGAGCUGCUCCGGGACGACAAGAGGACAGUGGUCUUAGUGACCCACAAGCUACAGUACCUGCCCCAUGCAGACUGGGUGAGGGGGAACAAGGGGGUCAGGCUAUAGGGGGCAGGGCUGGGGAGGCUGUCAGGCAUCUUGGCAGGAACCAAUCCGUUGUCUUGGUAGCAACUGCUGAGGGCCACAAAGCAUAAGAGACCAGCACUGGAUGGCUUUAUGCAUGCUGGGCAUUUCAGGGAGCCCCUGUACAGGCCAGGGGUUUGGUAUCACCUAGACCCACAGACACUCCCCAUCCUGGCCUGGGCCCCCCAUGGUACACUCAAGGCUGGCACCAAGAAGUCUCAGGAA
rnacentral:sRNA from 1 species